rnacentral:rRNA from 1 species
ACGGAGGGUGCAAGCGUUAUUCGGAUUUAUUGGGCGUAAAGGGCGCGCAGGCUGCCUGUUAAGUCAGAUGUGAAAGCCCCCGGCUUAACCGGGGAAGUGCAUUUGAAACUGACAGGCUUGAGUAUGGGAGAGGAAAUCGGAAUUCCUGGUGUAGCGGUGACCGGCGUAGAUAUCAGGCGGAACACCGGUGGCGAGAGCAGAAUUCCGGAUCAAUACUGCCGCUGAGGGGCGAAGGUGAUGGGAGGAAGCAG